rnacentral:rRNA from 1 species
GGAAUCUUCCACAAUGGACGCAAGUCUGAUGCAGCAACGCCGCGUGAGUGAAGAAGGCUUUCGGGUGGUAAAACUCUGUUGUUGGAGAAGAAUGGUCGGCAGAGUAACUGUUGCCGGCGUGACGGUAUCCAACCAGAAAGCCACAGCUACCUACGUGCAAGCAGCCGCUGUAAUACGUAGGUGGCAACCGUUAUCCGGAUUUAUUGGGCGUAAAGCGAGCGCAGGCGGUUUUUUAAGUCUGAUGUGAAAGCCCUCGGCUUAACCGAGGAAGCGCAUCGGAAACUGGGAAACUUGAGUGCAGAAGAGGACAGUGGAACUCCAUGUGUAGCGGUGAAAUGCGUAGAUAUAUGGAAGAACACCAGUGGCGAAGGCGGCUGUCUGGUCUGUAACUGACGCUGAGGCUCGAAAGCAUGGGUAGCG